rnacentral:rRNA from 1 species
UACGUAGGGUGCGAGCAUUGUCCGGAAUUAUUGGGCGUAAAGAGCUUGUAGGCGGUUUGUCGCGUCUGCUGUGAAAAUCCGGGGCUCAACCUCGGACUUGCAGUGGGUACGGGCAGACUAGAGUGUGGUAGGGGAGACUGGAAUUCCUGGUGUAGCGGUGAAAUGCGCAGAUAUCAGGAAGAACACCCGUGGCGAAGGCGGCUCUCUGGUACGUGACUGACGCUGAGACGCGAAAGCGUGGGGAGCAAACAGG